AUUGAACGCUGGCGGCAGGCCUAACACAUGCAAGUCGAGCGAGCGGCGGACGUGUGAGUAAUGUAUGGGGACUGCCCGAUAGAGGGGGAUAACUACUGGAACAGGUGGCUAAUACCGCAUACUAUCGGAUAACCCAUAUGGGAUUAGCUAGUAAGUUUGGUAAAGGUUGACCUCGGCGACGAUCCCUAGCUGGUCUGAGAGGAUGAUCAGCCAAACUGGGACUGAGACACGGCCCAGACUCCUACGGAGGCAGCAGUGGGGAAUAUUGCACAAUGGGCGCAAGCCUGAUGCAGCCAGGCCGCGUGUAUGAAGAAGGCCUUAGGGUUGUAAAGUACUGUCAGCGGGGAGGCGUUACCCGCAGAAGAAGCACCGGCUAACUCCGUGCCAGCAGCCGCGGUAAUUC
rnacentral:rRNA from 1 species